UGUCAAGGAAAGAACGCUCAAACACCCUUGAUCUGCCAUCCAAGGAUAAAAAGAAAUCACCAAGCAGAAAGAAACGUAUUUUGAGUUUCUUGAAAAAAGAUCGCAAAAAGAAAUAUUCAUCACAAGGAGACCUGGACUCGACUGAGCACUCCGUGUCGAUGACCCCUAGUGAAUUGGAAGUCAGUACUGAAACACCAAGCCGUUCAGCUAGUACAGGUAAUAUCAGAAAAGCAGAUGAAAUGCAAACUAUAGGUGAAAGGUCAACAGCAAGUAAAGGAUCACGCUCGAGCGAUAUGCACAGACCCAUUAGUGCAGCCGUGUGA